CGAGGAGCAGCAUAGCCAGCGGGGGGCGGCGCAAGGAGCAGUGCAGCUAGCUAGCAGCGCCGGUUUGAGGAGCAGGGGCGCGCGGCAGAGGGAGCAGAGGCGCCACGGCCUGCUGCUGGGGAGGUGGCGACGCAGGUAGACCUUCCAGUACUUCAGUAAUUCAUGCUAUUGUUAGUUUCAGUACUUCAGUAGUUAUGCUAUGUUAGUUUCAGUACUUCAGUAAUCUAUGCUAGCAUUUAAUUUCAGUAGUUCAAUUUUUUUAGUCUUAAGUAGUUUCAUUAGCAAUUUAGUAAUUUUAGAAAUAUUUUGGUAGUUCAGUACUUCUUAGUAGUUUCAUUAUGCGUACGCACCCUCCCAUUCCCCUUUUGCAUGAACCUGACAAGGAGCAAAGGAAAAGCUAUCUUGAUCCUACGCGUGAUGCUCCAAGGUCACUCUGUAUCAUUUUUUAUAUUUUUUUUGCAAUCCCCAAAUCUAGGAAUUUGUGUCCAUGUAUGCGCAAUUUUUAAUCGACAUGUAUGUUCUAGGUUUUCUUGGGGGUAUGUUGGAAAUGGAGACAAGCUGAUCCUAUCAAGCUUGUCGUUAUGCAGGCAACGUCACUAACAAAUUGAGGUUGGAGCUGUGACUGGUGUCUUACUUGCUGCUAUCCUAUUCAUUGACUUUGGAUCUUUGUCCUUUUUCCUCAAAUUAUUGAUGUUGAUGCGAGUACUCUUUAGGCAUUAGCACCUUACUGCGGCCAGUGAGAGAGUUGGAACAAAACCAUAUAACUGAUGCCGCAAUAAGACUUGAUACUUUGCUUUUGUUUCUCUGAAAUAAAGUGGGAACAUCCUUAACUGUGUGGCUGAUAGCAAGGUAGCUCAUGUAUCUCUAUGGAAGUAUGUAGACAGUAACAAAAUCAUGUGCAUACUUGGAUUCAAUAACGAGGAGAUUCAGUUAUUCAAUAGUUUCUUUUAGUCCAGUAUUUUUUCAUCGUAUUUUUUUGGGACUUUUGAACUUUUUAUUGGAUUCUUUAGUAAUACGGAGAUCUAGUUAUUCAGAAUUUUUUUAUACAUUGGUGGAAUUAGGAUUCCGUGCAGACCAGUAAUUGUUGCAAAAAGUGCAUGUGUUUGAAUUCAGCAACCGAGAGACUCAGUAGUAGAUAUUCA